rnacentral:rRNA from 1 species
GAUCCUGGCUCAGGACGAACGCUGGCGGCGUGCCUAACACAUGCAAGUCGAGCGGAAGUAUUUGAGGAGCUUGCUUUUUGGAUACUUUAGCGGCGGACGGGUGAGUAACGCGUGAGUAACCUGGCCUGUACAGGGGGAUAACAGUUAGAAAUGACUGCUAAUACCGCAUAAGACCACAGUACCGCAUGGUACAGGGGUCAAAGAAUUAUCGGUACAGGAUGGACUCGCGUCCCAUUAGCUAGUUGGCGGG